rnacentral:tRNA from 1 species
GCCUGGGUGGCUCAGUCGGUUAAGCGUCCGACUUCGGCUCAGGUCAUGAUCUCACAGUCCGUGGGUUCGAGCCCCGCGUCAGGCU